ensembl:lncRNA
CAGCAUCCGUGCGCCUGUGACUUAGCGCUUCCCAGCCCAGAGCUCGGGGCUGGCGUGGGGGGAGGCCGGGCGAACACACCCUUCCCGCGCCUGGGCUGGGGCACUCAAUGCCCGCGUGUGGUAGGUAGCGAGCCGGCUAAGCGGCGGCGGCAGCAGCCUCCAUCCCUCCCCAGAACACGCUGCCCCGGCGGCUUGCGCAACCAAUGCCGCCCUAGCCUGCGCUGGUCUCCCUCCCCUGCAGCCGCCCUGGCCACAGCGGGUUUCCAGAGGCUGCCGCUCUCCCUUUCCUGCCUAAAGAUACAGCUGAUAAGUGCGCGGGCAGCGCGAGCAGGUAAAGGUUUGCACGAGCACAAACACCGGCUGAGGCUGCAAGGGGCUGUCUCUGCUCCGGGCGGACACUGCCUGGGGCUUGGAGCUGAGCCGGACAGCAAACCGCCGCUGCAACCUUUGGCUCCCUCGCAGGCUGGGGUCCAGGAGCUGCCCGCAGUGCUCGGCCGCUUGCGCUGGUUUCCGUUUUGCUGUUGCAGGAGCCUGCAGAGGGCUGCUAGACGGCAGCCAAGGGGCCCCUGUGAUCUGCCGCUAGACCAGCCUUGGCGCGCCGGGCAUGUCCGCUGCCCGGCCUCCCGCGCUGCAGGGGCUCGCCUCGUUUGCAUGCCUGGUGCCCGGGGCAGGGUGGCGCGCCCAGGUCCCCGUCUCUCUGCCUGCUCGGCUCGGACCGCCGCAGCACUGGGGGAGAGAGAAUCUCCUUGCCUAUAAGUGGUUCAAGAUAAUUCCUCGAUAUUUCCAUGAACCAUACUAAAGGAGGUAUCAAGUUUCCUAAAGCCACUAAAAGCUGAAGAUGGAUAUUAAGCAUGCGAAGGAUUAUCUUUACUGGCUAUACUAUCAAUACCUACUGGUCACCUGUUGCUAUGUGUUGGAGCCCUGGGAGCAAUCCAUGUUCCAUACUAUUUUUAUUACAGUUUUUGCUAUGGUGGUGUACACAGCUUAUGUCUUUAUACCUAUCCACAUCCAUUUGGCUUUUGAGUUCUUCUCCCAGUUAUUUGGAGACCAGCGUGAAAGUACUGUUGCCAUUAUGAACUGAAUUUGCCAGGGUUGAUGAUGCAACAGCUACUAUGUGAAAUGUCUUCUUCCACGUUGGGGUUGUUUGUUUAGAAAAAGGUUUGUGUUUGCGGAAACAAUGCUUCCUCGUACAAAAGCUAGCCUGCAUAAUUACCAUAACUGAAAACCAGAAUAAUGCACUGAUUCCUCACUGUAUAGUUCAUAUUUAAAUAAAACACGAGCACAGCUUUUGUUCUGUGACCGUGCAACACCGACUUUGGAAUGCAUUACUUAAUAUUCAACUUGUCUACUGAGAACAGUGUUCCUAUGUAGUAGAUCCUCAAUGUAGAGAAAACAUAUGUUCUUUAACAGUUAGAGACCUUAUUUCUUUAUCACACUGUGUCUAGAAUCAUGAUUUUUACACAUAUGGUUUUCACAAUCAGAAUUUAAUUUUAAUAGCACACAUGAAAAUGUAUUGCAAGCAGCAAAAAGUAUCUAUGAUGAUAGUUGGUAGGAUAUUAUAUUUUUUGAAUACAAGAAAGCUUCUCCCAGAAGGGUACAUGGCAACUACCUUGCAAAACAUGCAAUUCUUUUCCCCAUCCUAGUUUACAGUGUAUCAGAAAUGUGAGUCAAAUAUAACAUGACCCAAGCAGCUGAAGUCUGUUUGUUUUAGUAGUCUGCUAAUUUUUAGCAUAGAUGGUGUCAUGAUAUAAAGGGAUGGUUUGAGGCUUUUCUUUUAGAAAAUGAGAAAUCAAGACUAGACAAGCAUGAAUCCAAUUUUUAGUACCUAAGCUUCUGCUGCUGGAUUUAUGGUGGUUUAAUUGUAAUAAGAUAAUUUAUUAUACUGUAAGUAAUCUUGCAUUGUACUAAGAAUGAUGUACCAGAUAUUUAGUGAGUCUGACUUUUUGUUACACUCAACUUUGCUUGUUACAAACAUCAAUUUUUCCCCUUUCUACUACAAUUCAUUGGGGGAAAGCAAAGCAUGUGUUUGUGCUAAAGGAAGAUGAUCUAGUAAACAGAGUGGAAUUUUCUAAUAAUUGCAGAACGCUGAAGCAUUUAGAUGGAAGCUUUGAUACAGAGGCCUCCUUUACAAAGGAGAAAGGAGAUUUAUUAAAACUGCCUUUGGGGAGUUUCUUAAACCAUGAAAGCGUUUUAUUGUACAUCUGAAUCAAACAUGAAUGCCAAAGAGAAAGCUAUAUAUGCAGAAUACAUACCUUUUGCAACUGGCACUACUGCUAGUGAAAGUGAGAUGCAUAAAAUGUAAAUAGUUUUUGAAGUAUGUUUACACAAUUAUAGCAUGAAGAAAUUUUCUAAUUUUAUCAAGGGGCAUUGGGGUCCUGCACGAUAAAAAGAAUGGCAAAUUCUGAUGUCAAAAAUGAGGCUAUGUUUAUAUGCAGUUUUUCAAAU